GAAUACUACAGCCAAGGGCUGACAUCUUUUUUUUAGGGAAAAAUAGCAGCCCCAUAAUUAUCCACGCAUUGGUCCCCCACCACGUGACGGCCAGGCCAAUGAGGAUUGAAAAUGGCCUUGAUGAUUCAGACGCCGAUGACGUCACAAGGGUCAAGUUGUUGCGAGCGGAGAAAACUAGCAUAGAGCAACAGCGACAUCUAUCAGUCUCUGCCGGGUAGGGUGUCCGGGACCUUCACUUUGAACAAAGGAGAAAAGCCCCCCGGUUUGCGGGAGUUUGUUUACCAAUGAACCAACGCGUGUCUACAGCAGAGCGGGGGGAAACCAAAAAAAAAAAAAAAAAAAGGGAAGCGAAAGCGCAAAUACAAGCAAAGUCAAAUCCAAAUAAAAAGACCCAGAAGCCUUUAUAGAAUCUGGAGCAAAUGUCGUAUCGGUGCGUGCUGUUGGAAACAGAAGAUCUACCGUGGAAACCUCAUAUUUUAAGAAUGUCUAAAUGUUGUGUAUAUAAAAUAAAGAUUGACAUUGUUAACUCA